rnacentral:rRNA from 1 species
UACGGGGGGGGCAAGCGUUGUUCGGAAUUACUGGGCGUAAAGGGCUCGUAGGUGGCCAACUAAGUCACACGUGAAAUCCCUCGGCUUAACCGGGGAACUGCGUCUGAUACUGGAUGGCUCGAGUGUGGGAGAGGGAUGCGGAAUUCCAGGUGUAGCGGUGAAAUGCGUAGAUAUCUGGAGGAACACCGGUGGCGAAGGCGGCAUCCUGGACCAUAACUGACACUGAUAAGCGAAAGCCAGGGGAGCAAACGGG